GACAGAGGUGGCGAGCGUUGCUCGGAAUUACUGGGCGUAAAGCGCGUGUAGGCGGCAGGGCAAGUCUGGUGUGAAAGCCCGGGGCUCAACCCCGGAAGUGCAUUGGAAACUGCUCUGCUUGAGUACCGGAGAGGAAGGGGGAAUUCCCGGUGUAGCGGUGAAAUGCGUAGAUAUCGGGAGGAAUACCAGUGGCGAAGGCGACCUUCUGGACGGUUACUGACGCUGAGACGCGAAAGCGUGGGGAGCAAACAGG
rnacentral:rRNA from 1 species